rnacentral:rRNA from 1 species
UUCCGGUUGAUCCCGCCGGACCUGACUGCUAUCGGAUUGGUACUAAGCCAUGCGAGUCGUUGUAGCAAUACAAGGCGGACGGCUCAGUAACACGUAGUCAACCUAACCUAUGGACGUGGAUAACCUCGGGAAACUGAGAAUAAACCGCGAUAGAUCAUUAUGCCUGGAAUGGCUUAUGGUUCAAACAAUUUAUUGCCGUAGGAUGGGACUGCGGCCUAUCAGCUCGUUGGUGAGGUAAUGGCCCACCAAGGCUAUAACUGGUACGGGCUCUGAGAGGAGAAGCCCGGAGAUGGGUACUGAGACACGGACCCAGGCCCUAUGGGGCGCAGCAGGCGAGAAACCUUAGCAAUGUGCGAAAGCACGACUAGGUUAAUCCGAGUGAUUUCUGUUGAAGAAAUCUUUUGUCAGUCGUAAAACCACAGACGAAUAAGGGGUGGGCAAGUCUGGUGUCAGCCGCCGCGGUAAUACCAGCACCUCGAGUGGUCAGGAGGUUUAUUGGGCCUAAAGCAUCCGUAGCCGGCUUUGCAAGUCUCCGGUUAAAUCCAGCUGCUCAACAGAUGGGCUGCCGGAGAUACUACACAGCUAGGGAGCGGGUGAGGCAGACGGUAUUCGGUGGGUAGGGGUAAAAUCCACUGAUCCAUCGAGGACCACCAGUGGCGAAGGCGGUCUGCCAGAACGCGUUCGACGGUGAGGGAUGAAAGCUGGGGGAGCAAACCGGAUUAGAUACCCGGGUAGUCCCAG